rnacentral:rRNA from 1 species
GACAGAGGUCCCGAGCGUUAGGCGGAAUCACUGGGCUUAAAGCGUGUGUAGGCGGAUUUGUAAGUACCUUGUGAAAUCCCACGGCUCAGCCGUGGAACUGCUUGGUAUACUGCUUAUCUUGGGCCAUCUAGGGGCGAGCGGAACAAACGGUGGAGCGGUGAAAUGCGUAGAUAUCGCUUGGAACGCCAAUGGUGAAAACAGCUCGCUGGGGAUGUGCCGACGCUGAGACACGAAAGCCAGGGGAGCGAACGGG